rnacentral:rRNA from 1 species
UACAGAGGUCUCAAGCGUUGUUCGGAUUCAUUGGGCGUAAAGGGUGCGUAGGUGGCGCCGUAAGUCAGGUGUGAAAUUUCGGAGCUUAACUCCGAAACUGCAUUUGAUACUGCGGUGCUUGAGGACUGGAGAGGAGACUGGGAUUUACGGUGUAGCAGUGAAAUGCGUAGAGAUCGUAAGGAAGACCAGUGGCGAAGGCGGGUCUCUGGACAGUUCCUGACACUGAGGCACGAAGGCCAGGGGAGCAAACGGG